rnacentral:rRNA from 1 species
UACAGAGGGUGCGAGCGUUGUCCGGAAUCACUGGGCGUAAAGGGCGCGUAGGUGGCGGGAUAAGCGUGCGGUGAAAGCUCGGGGCUCAACUCCGAGUCUGCCGUGCGGACUGUCUUGCUCGAGCGUAGUAGAGGCAGGUGGAGUUCCGGGUGUAGCGGUGGAAUGCGUAGAGAUCCGGAAGAACACCGGUGGCGAAGGAGGCCUGCGGGGCUACUGCUGACACUGAGGCGAGACAGCGUGGGGAGCAAACAGG